rnacentral:rRNA from 1 species
ACCAAAAACAGUGCCCAAUACACCCACUAACAAAUAGCCAAACAAACCAAAACAUUUGACAAUAUUAGUAGAGGCGAUCAAAACUUAUCAAUGGAGCUUAUUCAAGUACCGCAAGGGAACCAUGAAAAAACAAUGAAAUAUACAGUAAAACAAAGCAAAGAUAAACCCUUGUACCUAUUGCAUCACGGUCUAGCAAGUACAAAACAGACAAGAUGAUCUAGCCUGUAUUCCCGAAAUUAAGUGAGCUACCACAAGACAGCUCACGGAACCAACCCGUCCCUGUAGCAAAAGGGUGGGAAGAUCUCGUGGUAGCGGUGAAAAGCCUACCGAACUUAAUGAUAGCUGGUUGCCCGAGAAAAGAAUUUAAGUUCAACUUUAGUUAUUAACAACGCACUAUAGUAACAAGUAAAACUAAAAGAUAUUCAACGAGGGUACAGCCUCGUUGAAACAGGAUACAACCUGAAUUAGAGAGCACACCCAUAAGCGUAAUACAGUAGGCCUUUAAGCAGCCACCAGUAACAAAAGCGUCACAGCAUUAUAAAACUAAAUACCUAAAAAUACUAGCACCUCCUAACCCAUAUCGGGCUAUUCUAUAAAAAUAUAGAAAAACUUAUGCUAAAACUAGUAACAAGAAAUAAUUCUCUCAACACACCUGUAACCCAGAAAUAGAACAGCUACUGGAGAUUAACAAAAGUAGAAUAAAUACAACAAACUACCACAAACUGUUACCCCGACACAGGAGUGUAAAAAAGAAAGAUUAAACACUAAAGAAGGAACUCGGCAACAAUAACCCCAACUGUUUACCAAAAACAUAGCCUUUAGCAGACCCCAAGUAUUAAAGGUAACGCCUGCCCAGUGAACCAUUCAACGGCCGCGGUAUCCUAACCGUGCAAAGGUAGCGUAAUCACUUGUCCUCUAAAUAGGGACCAGUAUGAACGGCUAAAUGAGGGUUAUACUGUCUCCUUUAGUUAAUCAGUGAAACUGAUCUACCAGUACAAAAGCUGGUAUUAAAACAUAAGACGAGAAGACCCUGUGGAGCUUUAAAUAUAAUGUCAAAAUACAUGACAAAAUUUUUAAGUUGGGGCGACUUCGGAAAAAAACAAAACUUCCGAGCAUAGAAAUUUCUAACCAAGGCCAACAAGCCGAAGCAAAACAUGACCCAGUCAAACUGAUUAACGAACCAAGUUACCCCAGGGAUAACAGCGCUAUCUUCUUCAAGAGUUCCUAUCGACAAGAAGGUUUACGACCUCGAUGUUGGAUCAGGACACCCAAAUGGUGCAGCCGCUAUUAAAGGUUCGUUUGUUCAACGAUUAACAGUCCUACGUGAUCUGAGUUCAGACCGGAGUGAUCCAGGUCGGUUUCUAUCUAUGGCAUGGCCUUUCUUAGUACGAAAGGACCAGAAAGGCAAGACCACUGCAAAACAUGUCUUAUUCAAAAAGCUGAAAACAACUUAAGCUUAACACAUAUUACUACCCCGUAAAUAACGGGCUUA